GGCUUUAAAUUUAAAACCAACUCUUCAAAGUAUGUGGGCCGUGGAGAAUGAGAGGGAUGCAAGGGGUUGUGGCAACUUGCAUGCUGGCAUUACAGGCAUGUGCCACUGUGCCUAGCUCAGAGACUUCUUUCAUAGACGUCUUGGACACAGAGUUUCUUUCAGGCAAACUCUUACAACAAAGUUAGAUGAAAUGAUGCUUAAGUGAUGGCUGUACCACGGCACCCAGUGCCAAGGACCAGAGCUGCCCUCAGAGCUGAGGAGGAGCCUUCCAGGCUGCAGUACCACCACCCUCAGCAUGAAGGAGGUGAGCCGCAUGGAUGCCAGUACCCCACCCCCCACCCCCAUUGGAAUGAGAAGAUACAUAAACAAGUCUCAAAACCAGACUUCCAGAUCAAUUAAAGCAACCCCAAAGGGAAAUGAGAUGGAACAAUCUGAUACUCAGC
ensembl:lncRNA